AUGGAUUCAGAAACUACUUAGGAGAGGCAGGCAGUCCAAGGCUGAUGCCCAAAGAAGCCAUCAAGACCCGUGCUACUUCCAGCUCCUUCUGUCCUCAUAAUCAUAGAUGAUUGCUCCACAUCCAGCACCUAACACCAGUACUCAGUUAAAUUUUUUGCUGAAUAAAUCAAUGAAUGGAGAGGUAAAGAGGAACCAGAAGUUGGGGUUACAGAAGUCACUGAUGGAAGAGUUUCAAGAUAGUAGAAGUGGUCAGCCCUGUUAAGUGACAAGCCAAGGACUGAAGAAAGACUGGCAGAUUUGGCAAUCAGAUGAAGUGACCUGACCAAAGAGCAGCUUGUGUGAAGUAGUGAGGACAGGCGCUGGUCUGCGACUGGUUUAGGAGGAAAUGGAAAUGAGGAAGAAGAGAUAGGAAAGUGGAGAUUAUAUGAUGACAAGUAUCAAGAUAAAAAUGAACACAUUUGGCCUGCUACCUGAAUUUUUUAAAUCGGCUCACCAAAAAAUAUCAGGCUUAUUGAAAUAUUGGAAUAUCUGAUGAAGUUUCCUCUUAUCUUUGAGCUGUUUGGGUUUGGGUAAAACUUCAAUGCUUAAAAUUCACGUCUACAACUAGCAGGCAGAAACUUAAAGUCCAGAACCAUUAAGGGGUUUAAUAAUGAGUCUCGCUCAGUUUCCAGGCUGGAGUGUAAUGGCGUGAUCUUGGCUCACUGCAACCUCUGCCUCCCAGCUUCAAGUGAUUCCCCUGCUUUAGCCUCCCAAGCAGCUGGGACUACAGGCAUGCACCAGCAUGGCCGGCUAAUUUUUUUUUAUAUUUUAGUACAGAUGGGGUUUAACCAUGUUGGCCAGGAUGAUCUUGAUCUCCUGACCUCGUGAUCUGCCCACCUCAGCCUCCCAAAGUGCUAGGAUUACAGGCGUGAGCCACCUUGCCCGGCCUUCUAUUCCUUUUUCUAAUGCAUUUGCCCCAGCUAUCUGUAUAGCCUGCAAUCUGGUAGAUGGACCACAGGGAAACCACUGCAGCAAACUAAAAGUGUCUAUCUCAGAUCCUUCCACCACCAUCAUUUCCAAAAUCACCGUCACUAUCUCCACCACCAUGACCUUUACCACC
rnacentral:lncRNA from 1 species